rnacentral:rRNA from 1 species
CUACGGGGUGCAGCAGUGGGGAAUUUUGGACAAUGGGGGCAACCCUGAUCCAGCCAUGCCGCGUGAGUGAAGAAGGCCCUCGGGUUGUAAAGCUCUUUCGCAAGGAAAGAAAACUUACCUUUUAAUAAAGGGUAAGGCCGACGGUACCUUGAUAAGAAGCACCGGCGAACUACGUGCCAGCAGCCGCGGUAAUACGUAGGGUGCGAGCGUUAAUCGGAAUUACUGGGCGUAAAGCGUGCGCAGGCGGUUCGACAAGUCUGAUGUGAAAUCCCCGGGCUUAACCUGGGAACUGCGUUGGAAACUGUCGGGCUAGAGUGUAGAAGAGGGGGGUAGAAUUCCACGUGUAGCAGUGAAAUGCGUAGAGAUGUGGAGGAAUACCGAUGGCGAAGGCAGCCCCCUGGGCUAACACUGACGCUCAUGCACGAAAGCGUGGGGAGCAAACAGGAUUAGAUACCCUUGUAGUC